GGUCCUUGGUUUUUCCCUUUAGUAACACUGGUUUGCUGAGGUAAGCUCGGUCCCCGUGUUGCCGGAGCGUAUGAAGAACGCUUGCGGGGUGACGACGCCCCCCACACGUGGCUCGCGAGUCCGUCCUAGUGGCGUGCACACUAGGGUAGUUAACCCGCAGGCGGAGUGACUAGCCGCUGCUGUUUGGUCCUAGGUCGGCACCGCGGUUCCGUCCCGGGUCCCUAGUCUGGCCAAGCACGUGGUUGGCGAGUCCCCGGGUACGCAAGGCUAAAGCACGAGGAGGACAGAGCCCCUCCCCGGCAAGCUAGUCUUAGGCAAAGAAGCAAGUAAAAGUAGCAUUGGAUAUAUAUUGAAGCUUGAGCAAAACAAGUUGACAAAGAACACCGGUGAUGAUAAGGGAAAGCUAACAUAAAAAGUUCUAAGGCGCCACACGCCACUUGCAGGAAAAUAAAAAAGAAAAAAUGGAGGAAACUACGCGGGAGGUGCUCCCGGGGCAGCUGCGUCGGUGUCAGGUGCAUCCUCGGCAUCGGGGGCUUCUCCGGCAACCUUCUUAGCAGCGGCUUCGUCUUUGUCGACCUUGCCCUGCAUCCGCGCCACCAUCUCGACCACGACGCCCUAUACC
rnacentral:lncRNA from 1 species